rnacentral:lncRNA from 1 species
GUGGAGCUUCCCAGAGAAUACAAAAAUUCGGAAUUUCUAUUGGUCCGCUGCUGUUAUGCCUCCUCUUGAGGCGCGAGGAUUUUGGCCCUUGCAAGAAUCCGUCGGGCGGAGGACGCGACAACGGCCACGGGAAAUGACGUCAUUAACCCUGUGGCUUCCGUGCUGGAAAGAGAGGGAGAGCUCUUGCGAGGCAGAACAGGCUGCUGAAGGACAGACCUGGCUGGCGCGGUUAAUAAGAGGCCUGCAUCCCGUAGCCUGAACAAAUAUUGAAGUAGCUAAAGUUUCUAAAGUGUGUUAAUUUGCAUACUUCCUCAGCAGUCCAGCGUGGAGGAUAAAAGGGGUAUCUUGAAAUAGGGCCAUUUCAGGAGUGCUGCAUUUGUUCCUGUUGCUGGAAGACUCUACAUUUAGAGGAAGCAGCAGUUAGAUUGGCCUUGGCAAAUCAAAGUUGUAGUUUACUGAGAUAAUAUGCAAAUGAGAUCAUGGAACUGCUGCUAGUGGGACUUUUUUAAUCUCAUGGGUAACAAGAGACUGCAAGCAAGAACUUCACAUCCUUUACAUUUUCUAAGAUGGGAAGAAAAUAAACUCUACAAACUGCAUAUUGGGGAACUCAGUCUUCGUUCCCAAGAAUGUACGAACCUGGAAAGAGACGCUGAUCCCAGUAGGUGGCGCCAGCAAGCAGUCACCAAGGACAAGUCCCAGCACAGUCACUCCACUCUUUUUCUGGAGCUUACUAGACUGGAGUGGCGUAUUAAGAGGAUGUGUGAGUCCCCUGAAAGGUGUCUGAGGAUCUUGCUAAUGGUAUACUUUCUCACAAGUGAAGAGAUGUAUGCUAAGCACAAAUUAGGUGAAUUCAGAACAUUUAAAAAUAAAUAAUCAGCCAUUCUCGUAUCUUAUUAGUUUGUAAGAUCUGCCAUCUUCUCCUUUUUUCUGUGGGAAACCAGUCUUCUAGACUCACACUGGCAUAUGAACUUGUUUUCAUCAAAUGAGUUAAUAGGAAUGGGAGAGUUGAUUUAGGAAAUUUUGGGCUACAUUGAGGGAAGAAGUUGAAUGUCUUGAAUCAAAGAGAUGAUGCAUUUACUCUCUUUUGGGUGAGGCAAACCAACCUGGAAAGUUGUACUCUGUUUGGAAAAUCACAUUUUAAAAUUAGAUACAGACAAAUUGGAACACCUCAAGCAGAGAGUUAAGGAUGCUGACGAUUCAGGAUAUGUAUAGGAAAUAGUACAAAGGAUUUGAGAUGUUUCAACGUGAGAAGGAGCGUGGGUCAUGACAGGGAGGGGGAUAAAGCGUGUUGCUCACAGGUUGGGGCUGACACAUAGAAGACUGUACAAUUUAGACAGUAAGUGCAGUCACUAGUCUAAGACCACAAACGAAGGGGAAAUAAUUAGGUUCAACAGCAGAAGAGCAUUCAGUCACAAAUGUUCUAAGAGGAAGAUAUGUUAGCAUCUCUAGUAGUGAGUUCUAAUUCAUCAGAAGUAUGCAAGCAUAGGCAAGCCCCAGUUACACCUUUUAUGGAUUUGGGGAAGAAGAUUCAAGUAUUGGAUUAGUGGUAGGUAAGGUCAAAGUUUCUCAUACACCAACUAGUCUAGGGAUUGAUGGUAGUUUAUUCAAAAAUUUUUACUGGCUGGUGCGGUGACCCACGCCUGUAAUCCCAGCAAUUUGGGAGGCCAAGGUGGGUGGAUCACCCGAGGUCAGUAGUUAAAGACCAGCCUGACCAACAUGGUGAAACCCCAUCUCUACUAAAAAUACAAAAAAUUAGCUGGGCGUGGUGGUGGGAGCCUGCAAUCCCAGCUACUCGGGAGGCUGAGGCAGGAGAAUUGCUUGAACCCGGGAGGUAGAGGUUGCAGUUGGCCAAGAUCGCACCAUUGCACUCCAGCCUGGGCGACAACAGCAAAACUCCGUCUCAAAAAAAAAAAAAAAAAACACCUUUUUUUUUUUUUUUUACUAUGUUCCUGGAAAGAAAUAGGCAGCAUGGUUCACAAAUCUAAAUUUAUUCAAUGUAAAGGGCUAUCAUUUAUUCUAAAAUUAUUUACUUCUUACUUUGUGAGGGUGACACGCCUUUUCUUUGUAUGAAAUAAUUGUUGGUGAUAGAUUGUAGUAUGUUUGUAAAUAUACCUUACCUGUUGGAAUAAAGUUUGGAAAUACUCUA